rnacentral:rRNA from 1 species
UACAGAGGUCCCAAGCGUUGUUCGGAUUCAUUGGGCGUAAAGGGUGCGUAGGCGGCGGGGCAAGUCUGAUGUGAAAUCCUGGGGCUCAACCCCCAGAACUGCAUUGGAUACUGCCUUGCUAGAGUACUGGAGAGGGAACUGGAAUUUACGGUGUAGCAGUGAAAUGCGUAGAGAUCGUAAGGAAGGCCAGUGGCGAAGGCGAGUUCCUGGACAGUAACUGACGCUGAGGCACGAAGGCCAGGGGAGCAAACGGG